ensembl:lncRNA LINC01608 long intergenic non-protein coding RNA 1608
CUUCACAUCAAUAAUGGCAUCCAGCAUGAAAGCUUUUCUUUUUCUGCAUCCGCUGCUCUGUUAAGUGAUCACCACAUUCAUUGUUCUCGUUUCUAUUAUUUCUGAAAAAAAUCUUCAGGAUUCUGCUUGUGGGAGUGGAUGACAUUUUUACAGUGUUUACAGCUUUAUCUAUUCCAGAAUGUCAUAUAGCUGGUAUAAGAAAGAACACUAAUCAUUCCUAAGGAAGAAAAUUAACAACGCCGUGAGUUAUAAUAUCUGGCUGAAACUGAAGGAGCUCUGUGUAAUUAAAAGUCCUUUCUGCCCUGCCUGGCCAUGGUUCUGUAUGCAUUGAUGUCUUACAAACUGAAAAAAAAAAAAGUUAUUUUCUCAUCUCCAUUCCCUAGCAUAGACAUAUUACAUGAUGUGGAAUUGAAACAAGAAAAUUGCAUUUUAAUCUUCCACUCAGAACAUAGAAGAAUGAAACAAACAAACAAAAAAUACUCUGUUGUCUUAGUCUACCACAAGCAAAAUCUGGCAGUCUCUUUGCUUUGGUAAUGGCAUAAAUUCCUUGAUUAGCCUAUAGGAUAGCCCAUUGUUCUGCUCUUUUAGUGGAAUAGCUAGCAAUUGCUUUGUCAUUUUUUCCCCAUGGUUCCUACCAUUAGUGUUGGGAGGUUUCUUCUUUGUUUUUUUGAGAAAGAGGAAAAAGUUGUUAUAUUUUCAUAAAAACUUAAAUUUCAUCCAAAAUACUUGAUUUUCAUGAAGAAAGUAAAUAUCUCUGCCCCUAGUAUACAUGUGUGGAAACUUUCAGAACCCUGAAGAUAAAUACAUUUCAAACAAGUGAGUUUGAAAAUAUCAAUAGCAAAAUAGGAAGUAAGCUAAUUAGAGAGGUAAGAACUAGAUGGCUUAGCAUUCCAAUAAUAAUAUAUAACCUUCUUUAAGAGUAAAAUCUUGGUCAAAAGACAGAUGAAAACUCCAAUAAAAUUUCACAACUCAUGGAAAAGUCUAUCUUCGUAAUUCUUUAUGAAGCAAACUAUAUAUAUAUAAAACAUAUAUAUAUAUAUAUUUGAGACAGAGUUUCGCUCUUGUUGCCCAGGCUGGAGUGCAGUGGUGCGAUCUUGGCUCAUGGCAGCCUCUGUCUCCCGGGUUCAAGUGAUUCUCCUGACACAGCCUUGUAAGUGGUUGGGAUUACAGGUGUGUGCUAUCAUGCCCGGCUAAUUCUGUAUUUUGAGUAGAGACGGGGGUUUCUCCACGUUGGUCAGGGUGGUCUCGAACUCCCGACCUCAGGUGAUACCCUCGCCUCGACCUCUCAGAAUGCUGGGAUUAGAGGCUUGAGCCACCACGCCUAGCUGCAAACAUAUUUCUUAUAUUUUCCAACAUCACAAAAUUUUACUGAGCUAUGAUAUGUACUAAAAGCUGAUAAAGAUGGUGUUGUUAUAUUUAACAGUACUCUGAAUUUUGUUGCCAUUUCUAAAAUUGUAUUCAGAGGAAAUUAUGCCCAUGUUUCUAUAGAGAGAAUUUUAAAAAAUACAUGAGCAUAGAAAUUUGAGCAACAUUGAUUAAGGUUCCAUAAAA